rnacentral:rRNA from 1 species
UACGGAGGGUGCAAGCGUUAUUCGGAAUUACUGGGCGUAAAGCGCGUGCAGGCGGCCCUGGAAGUCUGAUGUGAAAGCCCCGGGCUUAACCCGGGAAGUGCAUUGGAAACUCUGGGGCUUGAGUGCUGGAGAGGAAGGGAGAAUUCCCGGUGUAGAGGUGAAAUUCGUAGAGAUCGGGAGGAACACCAGUGGCGAAGGCGCCCUUCUGGACAGCAACUGACGCUGAGACGCGAAAGCGUGGGGAGCAAACAGG